rnacentral:rRNA from 1 species
AGUGGCGAACGGGUGAGUAACACGUGAGCAACCUGCCCCUAACUCUGGGAUAACGCUUCGAAAGGAGUGCUAAUACCGGAUACCAGCUAGGAGGACAUCCUCUUGGCUUGAAAGUUUUUCGGUUAGGGAUGGGCUCGCGGCCUAUCAGCUAGUUGGUGAGGUAAAAGCUCACCAAGGCGACGACGGGUAUCCGGCCUGAGAGGGCGACCGGACACACUGGGACUGAGACACGGCCCAGACUCC